rnacentral:rRNA from 1 species
CGUGAGAUGUUGGGUUAAGUCCCGCAACGAGCGCAACCCUUGUCUUUAGUUGCCAUCAUUAAGUUGGGCCCUCUAGAGAGACUGCCAGGGAUAACCUGGAGGAAGGUGGGGAUGACGUCAAAUCAUCAUGCCCCUUAUGCUUAGGGCUACACACGUGCUACAAUGGGUAGUACAGAGGGUUGCCAAGCCGUAAGGUGGAGCUA